CCUACGGGUGGCAGCAGUGGGGAAUAUUGGACAAUGGGCGAAAGCCUGAUCCAGCCAUGCCGCGUGUGUGAAGAAGGCCUUCGGGUUGUAAAGCACUUUCAGUGGGGAAGAAAGCCUUGGGGCUAAUACCCUCGAGGAAGGACAUCACCCACAGAAGAAGCACCGGCUAACUCCGUGCCAGCAGCCGCGGUAAUACGGAGGGUGCGAGCGUUAAUCGGAAUUACUGGGCGUAAAGCGCGCGUAUGCGGUCUGAUAAGCCGGUUGUGAAAGCCCCGGGCUCAACCUGGGAACGGCAUCCGGAACUGUCAGGCUAGAGUGCAGGAGAGGAAGGUAGAAUUCCCGGUGUAGCGGUGAAAUGCGUAGAGAUCGGGAGGAAUACCAGUGGCGAAGGCGGCCUUCUGGACUGACACUGACGCUGAGGUGCGAAAGCGUGGGUAGCAAACAGGAUUAGAUACCCCAGUAGUC
rnacentral:rRNA from 1 species